GUGGGCUACGGCGACAUGGCGCCUCGGACCUACGUGGGCAUGCUUGUGGGGGCUCUGUGCGCCCUCGCCGGCGUGCUCACCAUCGGCCUGCCCGUGCCGGUGAUUGUGUCCAAC
rfam:Ixodes scapularis strain Wikel colony gcontig_1108379831076, whole genome shotgun sequence.